rnacentral:rRNA from 1 species
UACAUGGGGUGCAAACGUUGCUCGGAAUUAUUGGGCGUAAAGCGCACGUAGGCGGUUUGUUAAGUCGGAUGUGAAAUCCCUCGGCUCAACUGAGGAAGUGCACCCGAAACUGGCAAGCUUGAGUACGAAAGAGGGUCGCGGAAUUCCCGGUGUAGAGGUGAAAUUCGUAGAUAUCGGGAGGAACACCGGUGGCGAAGGCGGGUCUCUGGGCCGAUACUGACGCUGAGGAGCGAAAGCAUGGGUAGCGAACAGG